AAUCAGUGUGGCUGUCUGCCAUAUCAGCAAUUUGAAAAUAAUGCAAGAUGGAGCAACUAUAAUUUUGGAUCCCUGAGUUGUUGUUUCAUGAACGUGUUCUUACAUGCUGAAUUUAGACUCCUAUUGUCAGAUUUUGGAAUGGGUCCAUGGAGACUGGCUUUGAAAUCAGUGGAAGAACCACAACAAUUUCAUUCAAUCUAAAGAGGUCUUAUGUGCAACAAGAGUGGAAAUCAUGGCCCGAUUGUUCACUGCCCCAAUUAAGGACCUCUAAAGAGGAAGUAUAACUACCGCAUCGAAUGAUCACGUAACGGGGUAGUGACUAGAGAUUCAACCUUCUCAAUGAUUUGAUGACUACUUGACAGAAGAGUGGAUGGGCCGUGAGUAAAACUGAGCAAACCUCACAAUAUGCAAGUAUGAAAGGAUGUUUUGCAAGGGGCUGAAGUCAUGAAGCCAAGUUACAACUUAGAAAAGUGGAGACGAUCACAUCUCCCUUGGAUCUGAGGCCCCACACCAGACUAGCAAACCAAUCGACAAGGAAGCUUCUUGAACUUUUCUUCAACCUCAGAGAAUCUGACUCAGCGGCUCUGGCGUGAGACCAGAGGGCACUGUGUGAAAAAGUCUCCCAAGUGAGUGUGAGAAUCAGCCAGAUUUGGGAAGCAUGGUCUCAGGCCAGCAUUGCCUGCAGGGACUAGCAGUUCCAUGGG